rnacentral:rRNA from 1 species
AGAGUUUGAUCCUGGCUCAGGACGAACGCUGGCGGCGCGCUUAACACAUGCAAGUCGAGCGAGAACCGGCCUUCGGGCCGGGGAAAGCGGCGAACGGGUGAGCAACACGUGGGUAACCUGCCCCGAUGAUUGGGACAACCCGAGGAAACUCGGGCUAAUACCGAAUGUGCCCUCCGGCCGUAAGGCCUCUGGGGAAAGGAAGCUUCGGCCUCCGCAUCGGGAUGGGCCCGCGGCCCAUUAGCUUGUUGGUGAGGUAACGGCUCACCAAGGCUACGAUGGGUAGCUGGUCUGAGAGGACGAUCAGCCACACUGGGACUGAGACACGGCCCAGACUCCUACGGGAGGCAGCAGUGGGGAAUCUUGCGCAAUGCGCGAAAGCGUGACGCAGCAACGCCGCGUGGGGGAAGAAGGCCUUCGGGUUGUAAACCCCUUUCAGUUGGGACGAAGCUUCGGCGGUGAAUAGCCGCCUGGAGUGACGGUACCUUCAGAAGAAGCCCCGGCUAACUACGUGCCAGCAGCCGCGGUAAUACGUAGGGGGCAAGCGUUGUCCGGAAUCAUUGGGCGUAAAGAGCGUGUAGGCGGCUUGGUAAGUCCGCUGUGAAAGUCCAGGGCUCAACCCUGGAAAGCCGGUGGAAACUGUCAAGCUCGAGUCCGGAAGAGGCGAGUGGAAUUCCUGGUGUAGCGGUGAAAUGCGCAGAUAUCAGGAGGAACACCAAUGGCGANNNCAGCUCGCUGGGACGGUACUGACGCUGAGACGCGAAAGCGUGGGGAGCAAACANNA